GUGGGGAAUAUUGGACAAUGGGGGGAACCCUGAUCCAGCCAUGCCGCGUGUGUGAAGAAGGCCUUUUGGUUGUAAAGCACUUUAAGCGAGGAGGAGGCUACCGAGAUUAAUACUCUUGGAUAGUGGACGUUACUCGCAGAAUAAGCACCGGCUAACUCUGUGCCAGCAGCCGCGGUAAUACAGAGGGUGCAAGCGUUAAUCGGAUUUACUGGGCGUAAAGCGCGCGUAGGGGGCCAAUUAAGUCAAAUGUGAAAUCCCCGAGCUUAACUUUGGAAUUGCAUUCGAUACUGGUUGGCUAGAGUAUGGGAGAGGAUGGUAGAAUUCCAGGUGUAGCGGUGAAAUGCGUAGAGAUCUGGAGGAAUACCGAUGGCGAAGGCAGCCAUCUGGCCUAAUACUGACACUGAGGUGCGAAAGCAUGGGGAGCAAACAGGAUUAGAUACCCUGGUAGUCC
rnacentral:rRNA from 1 species